ensembl:snRNA U6 U6 spliceosomal RNA
CUGAUAAUUUCUGCAGCACAUAUACUAAAAUUGGAACAAUACAGAGAUUAGCAUGGCCCUUGCACAAGGAUCUCUCUCACAUGCACAUAUAAUAAAAUAAAUUUC